GACGAACGCUGGCGGCGUGCUUAACACAUGCAAGUCGAACGGAAAGGCCCUGCUUUUGUGGGGUGCUCGAGUGGCGAACGGGUGAGUAACAUGUGAGUAACCUGCCCUUGACUUUGGGAUAACUUCAGGAAACUGGGGCUAAUACCGGAUAGGAGCUCCUGCUGCAUGGUGGGGGUUGGAAAGUUUCGGCGGUUGGGGAUGGACUCGCGGCUUAUCAGCUUGUUGGUGGGGUAGUGACUUACCAAGGCUUUGACGGGUAGCCGGCCUGAGAGGGUGACCGGCCACAUUGGGACUGAGAUACGGACCAGACUCCUACGGGAGGCAGCAGUGGGGAAUAUUGCACAAUGGGCGGAAGCCUGAUGCAGCAACGCCGCGUGCGGGAUGACGGCCUUCGGGUUGUAAACCGCUUUCGCCUGUGACGAAGCGUGAGUGACGGUAAUGGGUAAAGAAGCACCGGCUAACUACGUG
rnacentral:rRNA from 1 species